rnacentral:rRNA from 1 species
AAAAACGACUCUCGGCAACGGAUAUCUCGGCUCUCGCAUCGAUGAAGAACGUAGCGAAAUGCGAUACUUGGUGUGAAUUGCAGAAUCCCGUGAACCAUCGAGUCUUUGAACGCAAGUUGCGCCCCAAGCCUUUAGGCCGAGGGCACGUCUGCCUGGGUGUCACG